GUGCAGCAGGCGAGAAACCUUCGCAAUGCGCGAAAGCGCGACGAGGGGACUCCGAGUGCCUAUGCUCAGCAUAGGCUGUUCACCGGUGUAAAAGCCGGUGGAGGAAGGGGUGGACAAGACUGGUGCCAGCCGCCGCGGUAAUACCAGCGCCCCAAGUGGUGAUCGAUAUUAUUGGGUCUAAAACGUCCGUAGCCGGCCCGGUAAAUCUCCGGGUAAAUCGUCCAGCUUAACUGGUCGAAUUCUGGGGAGACUGCCGGGCUUGGGACCGGGAGAGGUCGGAGGGCACUCCGAGGGGUAGGGGUAGAAA
rnacentral:rRNA from 1 species